AGACAUUUCCCUGGGACACUCUCAUGUUUAUGGAAUGAAUUGAGGUGCGGCACAGUCCGGAACUGAUUAGUGCAAGGGAGCCGAUAUCCCGGUGGUGGAUUUCAAGUUUUAGGAGGGGCACAGGUAACCGCCAAAGGGAGACAAAGCCGCCAAGGAGAAUGAAGAAUUUGCCAAGGAGGAAAAAGACAGAAGGGCAAUCUAUUGGGAGUGUGUCGGGGGCUGAGACAACAUCUAGGGAUCAAUGUUUUCACUGCAUGUAGGAGACGCAAGGUUCUUCAGGGACUUCCCCUGCUAGACUUUGGUUUGCGAAGUUCCAAGGAGAAGAUUUCAAUGAGCCCCCUGCACAAAACACUCUAAAGGGAGAAUGACAAAAGGGGUGACUUCUUCGUACUUUGCGUCUCUGUGAUAAGAAAGAUGGUGACAAGACUUUGCCUGCUGGUAGCUGCUGCCUGCUUUGCUGCAGAACUGGUACAAGGGUUCAUCUUUUUGCGCUACUGCACAGCCGCAACAAAAAAGAAGAAGCCAGAAGACGAUUGCUCUGUGAUGCUUGCUGGAAGACUCCUGGGACAGUUCUGAUAUGAGCCCUGGGCUUCAGAGGGCAUGUCUGAGAACACUUACCUGACUCUUACAAGGAGAUGGCUCCUUUUGGCUAUAUUUUGGGCCCUCUUGGACACUGAAUCACACCUUUUGGAUUAGCCAUUUUUGUGAUGUGUCUUCUAGCGGGUGCACGUAGUAUACAUGACAUGAUGGGGAAUGGUGCCAAGAAUAACCAUUAUACACAGAAUCUCCAAUUUGUUUCCAGGAUCUUUUCUUACCCAUCAUCCCCGUAGGACUUAAAAAGCUGAAUAGUCAAAGUCCUGAAAGGCUUCAUUUAUCUCGCUGGCCAUUUCAAGAGGGGGUCCUUUGGGCUGCGUCAGAUUCGCCGGCAGCACUCUGGUUUUGGAAUAUUAUCCUCAAGGUGAGGGCUCUGGGAUGUUUCCUCCUCAUUCUCUGCAACAUCGCUAUUGGGUUUAGUUAAUUGAGGUUGUUGUAGCUCUGGGUUUGCAGAUUCUGCCUCCUCAGCUUCUUCAGCUGCAGGCUGUUGUAUCUCCAGGUUGACAGAUUCUGCCUCCUCAGCUUCUUCAGCUGCAGGUAUAAAAGAACAGCUUUAUAUUUCCAUCUGCCUUACCUCAGUAUGCCGGUGCCGACAUGAGAUGCCACACACUUUGGCGCCCAUCUUGAAACUCCUGUACAAGAAAAGAAAGGGCUGUGGAACACGGGGGCAUUUGUGCCCUAACAAAACCGUGGAUUUGUGGGCGAUCCGGCCUAAACACUAGAAGUACAGAAGUAGAAUGCAGUUUCCAGAGAUAAUGGCGGAUCCCCUCAUGUGUUUUACAUACAAAAUUCUACAGACACAAAGCUAUCCUCUCCUGUCAGCAAGGAACACACAAUGGGAAGAAAUGCGGCGCUACGGUAUUCUUGGCACUGGCUGCGGCCCAAAUUCAAAGGAACCGUUUGAAAGUGAAAUUCUGAAGUGUUGCUAGCACUGAAGGAAACUGUCACAUCCGAUGUGUGAAGGUAAAGGCACAAGCACCACACAGCUUUUAUUCUCAGCCUGUGCCUCCUCGAAAUACACGCAGGCAAUUCCACUCACACAAAAUACAUCUCUCUCACUAUUUGUUAACUUCAUGCAUUUGAUAAAUUAAAUUGAGUGUUUUAUACUUAAAAAUCUUUAUUUUCCCCCUGAAAAAUUCUGAAUCUAAAAUUCUUAAAUAUAUGAACAUAUAUAUUUAGUAUAUAUAGGCCCUAAUGUGGGCUGA